rnacentral:rRNA from 1 species
ACUUAAAUUGAAGAGUUUGAUCAUGGCUCAGAUUGAACGCUGGCGGCAGGCCUAACACAUGCAAGUCGAGCGGUAGCACAGAGAGCUUGCUCUCGGGUGACGAGCGGCGGACGGGUGAGUAAUGUCUGGGAAACUGCCUGAUGGAGGGGGAUAACUACUGGAAACGGUAGCUAAUACCGCAUAACGUCGCAAGACCAAAGUGGGGGACCUUCGGGCCUCAUGCCAUCAGAUGUGCCCAGAUGGGAUUAGCUAGUAGGUGGGGUAAUGGCUCACCUAGGCGACGAUCCCUAGCUGGUCUGAGAGGAUGACCAGCCACACUGGAACUGAGACACGGUCCAGACUCCUACGGGAGGCAGCAGUGGGGAAUAUUGCACAAUGGGCGCAAGCCUGAUGCAGCCAUGCCGCGUGUAUGAAGAAGGCCUUCGGGUUGUAAAGUACUUUCAGCGGGGAGGAAGGCGAUAAGGUUAAUAACCUUGUCGAUUGACGUUACCCGCAGAAGAAGCACCGGCUAACUCCGUGCCAGCAGCCGCGGUAAUACGGAGGGUGCAAGCGUUAAUCGGAAUUACUGGGCGUAAAGCGCACGCAGGCGGUCUGUCAAGUCGGAUGUGAAAUCCCCGGGCUCAACCUGGGAACUGCAUUCGAAACUGGCAGGCUAGAGUCUUGUAGAGGGGGGUAGAAUUCCAGGUGUAGCGGUGAAAUGCGUAGAGAUCUGGAGGAAUACCGGUGGCGAAGGCGGCCCCCUGGACAAAGACUGACGCUCAGGUGCGAAAGCGUGGGGAGCAAACAGGAUUAGAUACCCUGGUAGUCCACGCCGUAAACGAUGUCGAUUUGGAGGUUGUGCCCUUGAGGCGUGGCUUCCGGAGCUAACGCGUUAAAUCGACCGCCUGGGGAGUACGGCCGCAAGGUUAAAACUCAAAUGAAUUGACGGGGGCCCGCACAAGCGGUGGAGCAUGUGGUUUAAUUCGAUGCAACGCGAAGAACCUUACCUGGUCUUGACAUCCACAGAACUUAGCAGAGAUGCUUUGGUGCCUUCGGGAACUGUGAGACAGGUGCUGCAUGGCUGUCGUCAGCUCGUGUUGUGAAAUGUUGGGUUAAGUCCCGCAACGAGCGCAACCCUUAUCCUUUGUUGCCAGCGGUUCGGCCGGGAACUCAAAGGAGACUGCCAGUGAUAAACUGGAGGAAGGUGGGGAUGACGUCAAGUCAUCAUGGCCCUUACGACCAGGGCUACACACGUGCUACAAUGGCAUAUACAAAGAGAAGCGACCUCGCGAGAGCAAGCGGACCUCAUAAAGUAUGUCGUAGUCCGGAUUGGAGUCUGCAACUCGACUCCAUGAAGUCGGAAUCGCUAGUAAUCGUAGAUCAGAAUGCUACGGUGAAUACGUUCCCGGGCCUUGUACACACCGCCCGUCACACCAUGGGAGUGGGUUGCAAAAGAAGUAGGUAGCUUAACCUUCGGGAGGGCGCUUACCACUUUGUGAUUCAUGACUGGGGUGAAGUCGUAACAAGGUAACCGUAGGGGAACCUGCGGUUGGAUCACCUCCUUACCUUAAAGAA